CCGUGACACAAAUAAUAACAGAGACAUCGAGCAGAAGAUCAGUUUUCAAAAAGGAGAUGGAAAAGAGCCCACUGUUACCAUUUACAAACCUGAUAACGUCAAAGAUAAUAUCUCUCAUGUGUGUGAGGUCACCAGCCCUAAACUCGGUGAUGUCUAUGUAAUGUGGAAAGUGGGUGAUGAGUCUUACAGAGAGGGCACAACCAGUGCUCCCACCCAUCAAAAGGACUCCGCGUCUGUUCUCAGCAUCCUAACAAUGACAAAAGAAGAGUAUAAUGUCAUCACCUGUGCAGUGAUUCAUGCCAACAUGACCAAUAGAAGUUCACCAUUACAAGUGUCAACAAGCAAAACUAAAUUGUCACUGACAAUGAAGCCACCAAUUCAGAAAGAACUAUUUGUUAAUGAUACAAUUGUCUUGCAAGCUGUUGUUUCUGGAGAUGUAAACGAUACAGUGCAAGUUACUUCAGUAUCAUGUAAAGUGAAGGAUGAGCGUGUGCCCAAUGGGAAUAUCACAACAGGGAAUGUUGAAUCUUCUGACACUUCUCAAUUUAAAAAAAUUUACGAUGUCACUGUUGACACAGAGAAAUGGUUUGAAGGUCACGUGGUCACCUGCACCAUCCAUGACACAAAUAAUAACAGAGACAUCGAGCAGGAGAUCAGUUUUCAAAAAGGAGAUGGAAAAGAGCCCACUGUUACCAUUUACAAACCUGAUAAUGUCAAAGAUAAUAUCUCUCAUGUGUGUGAGGUCACCAGCCCUAAACUCGGUGAUGUCUAUGUAAUGUGGAAAGUGGGUGAUGAGUCUUACAGAGAGGGCACAACCAGUGCUCCCACCCAUCAAAAGGACUCCACGUCUGUUCUCAGCAUCCUAACAAUGACAAAAGAAGAGUAUAAUGUCAUCACCUGUGCAGUGAUUCAUGCCAACAUGACCAAUAGAAGAGCUCCAUUACAAGUGUCAACAAGCAAAACUAAAUUGUCACUGACAAUGAAGCCACCAAUUCAGAAAGAACUAUUUGCUAAUGAUAAAAUUGUCUUGCAAGCCGUUGUUUCUGGAGAUGUAAAAAAUACAGUGCAAAAUACUUCAGUAUCAUGUAAAAUGAAGGAUGAGCGUGUGCCCAAUGGGAAAAUCAAAACGGGGAAUGUUGAAUCUUCUGACACUUCUCAAUUUAAAAAAAUUUACGAUGUCACUGUUGACACAGAGAAAUGGUUUGAAGGUCACGUGGUCACCUGCACCAUCCGUGACACAAAUAAUAACAGAGACAUCGAGCAGAAGAUCAGUUUUCAAAAAGGAGAUGGAAAAGAGCCCACUGUUACCAUUUACAAACCUGAUAACGUCAAAGAUAAUAUCUCUCAUGUGUGUGAGGUCACCAGCCCUAAACUCGGUGAUGUCUAUGUAAUGUGGAAAGUGGGUGAUGAGUCUUACAGAGAGGGCACAACCAGUGCUCCCACCCAUCAAAAGGACUCCGCGUCUGUUCUCAGCAUCCUAACAAUGACAAAAGAAGAGUAUAAUGUCAUCACCUGUGCAGUGAUUCAUGCCAACAUGACCAAUAGAAGAGCUCCAUUACAAGUGUCAACAAGCAAAACUAAAUUGUCACUGACAAUGAAGCCACCAAUUCAGAAAGAACUAUUUGCUAAUGAUAAAAUUGUCUUGCAAGCUGUUGUUUCUGGAGAUGUAAACGAUACAGUGCAAGUUACUUCAGUAUCAUGUAAAGUGAAGGAUGAGCGUUGUGCCCAAUGGGAAAAUCAAAACAGGGAAUGUUGA